UACUGUGAAGCAUCCUGUUAAGUCAGGCAACGAGCGAGACCCACGUCCACAGUUGCCAGCAUACCCUCCGGGGUGAUGGGUACACUGUGGAGACCGCCGCUGCUAAAGCGGAGGAAGGAGUGGGCAACGGUAGGUCAGUAUGCCCCGAAUCUCCCGGGCUACACGCGGGCUACAAUGGUUGGUACAAUGGGCAUCUACCCCGAAAGGGGAAGGAAAUCUCUUAAAGCCAAUCGUAGUUCGGAUUGAGGGCUGCAACUCGCCCUCAUGAAGCUGGGAUCCGUAGUAAUCGCGUUUCAACAGAACGCGGUGAAUACGUCCCUGCUCCUU
rnacentral:rRNA from 1 species